rnacentral:rRNA from 1 species
AAAUUGAAGAGUUUGAUCAUGGCUCAGAUUGAACGCUGGCGGCAGGCCUAACACAUGCAAGUCGAGCGGUAGCACAGAGAGCUUGCUCUCGGGUGACGAGCGGCGGACGGGUGAGUAAUGUCUGGGAAACUGCCUGAUGGAGGGGGAUAACUACUGGAAACGGUAGCUAAUACCGCAUAACGUCGCAAGACCAAAGAGGGGGACCUUCGGGCCUCUUGCCAUCAGAUGUGCCCAGAUGGGAUUAGCUAGUAGGUGGGGUAACGGCUCACCUAGGCGACGAUCCCUAGCUGGUCUGAGAGGAUGACCAGCCACACUGGAACUGAGACACGGUCCAGACUCCUACGGGAGGCAGCAGUGGGGAAUAUUGCACAAUGGGCGCAAGCCUGAUGCAGCCAUGCCGCGUGUAUGAAGAAGGCCUUCGGGUUGUAAAGUACUUUCAGCGGGGAGGAAGGCGGUGAGGUUAAUAACCUCAUCGAUUGACGUUACCCGCAGAAGAAGCACCGGCUAACUCCGUGCCAGCAGCCGCGGUAAUACGGAGGGUGCAAGCGUUAAUCGGAAUUACUGGGCGUAAAGCGCACGCAGGCGGUCUGUCAAGUCGGAUGUGAAAUCCCCGGGCUCAACCUGGGAACUGCAUUCGAAACUGGCAGGCUAGAGUCUUGUAGAGGGGGGUAGAAUUCCAGGUGUAGCGGUGAAAUGCGUAGAGAUCUGGAGGAAUACCGGUGGCGAAGGCGGCCCCCUGGACAAAGACUGACGCUCAGGUGCGAAAGCGUGGGGAGCAAACAGGAUUAGAUACCCUGGUAGUCCACGCCGUAAACGAUGUCGACUUGGAGGUUGUGCCCUUGAGGCGUGGCUUCCGGAGCUAACGCGUUAAGUCGACCGCCUGGGGAGUACGGCCGCAAGGUUAAAACUCAAAUGAAUUGACGGGGGCCCGCACAAGCGGUGGAGCAUGUGGUUUAAUUCGAUGCAACGCGAAGAACCUUACCUACUCUUGACAUCCAGAGAACUUUCCAGAGAUGGAUUGGUGCCUUCGGGAACUCUGAGACAGGUGCUGCAUGGCUGUCGUCAGCUCGUGUUGUGAAAUGUUGGGUUAAGUCCCGCAACGAGCGCAACCCUUAUCCUUUGUUGCCAGCGGUUCGGCCGGGAACUCAAAGGAGACUGCCAGUGAUAAACUGGAGGAAGGUGGGGAUGACGUCAAGUCAUCAUGGCCCUUACGAGUAGGGCUACACACGUGCUACAAUGGCGCAUACAAAGAGAAGCGACCUCGCGAGAGCAAGCGGACCUCAUAAAGUGCGUCGUAGUCCGGAUUGGAGUCUGCAACUCGACUCCAUGAAGUCGGAAUCGCUAGUAAUCGUAGAUCAGAAUGCUACGGUGAAUACGUUCCCGGGCCUUGUACACACCGCCCGUCACACCAUGGGAGUGGGUUGCAAAAGAAGUAGGUAGCUUAACCUUCGGGAGGGCGCUUACCACUUUGUGAUUCAUGACUGGGGUGAAGUCGUAACAAGGUAACCGUAGGGGAACCUGCGGUUGGAUCACCUCCUUACCUUAAAGAA